rnacentral:rRNA from 1 species
CAGCCGCCGCGGUAAUACGGAGGGGGCUAGCGUUAUUCGGAAUUACUGGGCGUAAAGCGCACGUAGGCGGCUUCGCAAGUCAGAGGUGAAAGCCUGGAGCUCAACUCCAGAAUUGCCUUUGAGACUGCGUCGCUCGAAUCCGGGAGAGGUGAGUGGAAUUCCGAGUGUAGAGGUGAAAUUCGUAGAUAUUCGGAAGAACACUAGUGGCGAAGGCGGCUCACUGGACCGGCAUUGACGCUGAGGUGCGAAAGCGUGGGGAGCAAACAGGAUUAGAGACCCCAGUAGUCCCUGUCUCUUAUAC